rnacentral:rRNA from 1 species
CCCUUAGAUGUUCUGGGCCGCACGCGUGCUACACUGAGUGGAUCAGCGGGUCAGGUUGCGCGAAAGUGUUUCCUAAUCUUUAAAUCCGCUCGUGAUGGGGAUUGACGGUUGCAAUUUUCCGUCAUGAACGAGGAAUACCUUGUAAGCGCGGGUCAUCAUCCCGCGCUGAAUACGUCCCUGCCCUUUGUACACACCGCCCGUCGCUCCUACCGAUUGAGUGGUCCGGUGAGGCUUUGGGAUCUGAGCGGAAAGAGCGUUUCGCUGUUUCUGCCCGGAAAACUCAGUCGAACCUUAUCAUUAGAGGAAGGAGAAGUCGUAACA